rnacentral:rRNA from 1 species
GUGGGGAAUCUUCCGCAAUGGACGAAAGUCUGACGGAGCAACGCCGCGUGAGUGAUGAAGGUCUUCGGAUUGUAAAGCUCUGUUAAUCGGGACGAAAGAGCCUAGUGUGAAUAAUGCUAGGAAGUGACGGUACCGGAAUAGAAAGCCACGGCUAACUACGUGCCAGCAGCCGCGGUAAUACGUAGGUGGCAAGCGUUGUCCGGAAUUAUUGGGCGUAAAGCGCGCGCAGGCGGAUCUGCCAGUCUGUCUUAAAAGUUCGGGGCUUAAACCCGUGAUGGGAUGGAAACUACAGAUCUAGAGUAUCGGAGAGGAAAGUGGAAUUCCUGGUGUAGCGGUGAAAUGCGUAGAUAUUAGGAAGAACACCAGUGGCGAAGGCGACUUUCUGGACGAAAACUGACGCUGAGGCGCGAAAGCCAGGGGAGCGAACGGGAUUAGAUACCCGAGUAGUCC